rnacentral:SRP_RNA from 1 species
CCGUGCUAGACGGGGAGGUAGCGGUGCCCUGUGACCCGCAACCCGCUACAGCGGGGUCGAACGCCAGCCGAGGUCCUGUCUCGUGGUAACGGUCCCGGUAAGCGGCGAUGAAGGCCGGGUCCCGUGCAAUGGAGACCGAUGAACCCCGCCAGGUCCGGAAGGAAGCAACGGUAAGUCGGAUCCUCCAUGUGCCGCGGGGCGGCCCGGUCCGAGGCGGCUGCCGCGAUGCGCCCGGGAGGCGUGGAUCGGAGCUGGUGCACGG